rnacentral:rRNA from 1 species
AGCUCCAAUAGCGUAUACUAAUGUUGCUGUGGUUAAAAAGCUCGUAGUCGGAAGAUUGUCAAGUGGGAGCCCUGGCGCAAGCGCUAGCGGUUCUUAUUGAUUGGUUGGAAAGGACAAGUCAAUUGACUUUCAAAGGUUGAUUGAGCUGGGUCUGUGUUUACUUUGAAAAAACAAGAGUGCUAAAGGCAGACCAGUAGUCGGAAUAGUUGUGCAUGGAAUAAUAUAACAAGGAGUUGUGUAUGUUAUGUUGGUCUCAACCAUAACUUGAUGAUAAAUAGAGACUGACGGGGGCAUAUGUAUUCAAGCGCUAGAGGUGAAAUUCUUGGACCGUUUGAAGACAUCCAAAAGCGAAAGCAUAUGCCAAGUAUGUUUUCAUUG